CUACGACCAUAGGAUUUGAAAAAUCUGUAAAUGUAUUACUAACGAUUUUGCUUUAAAUUAAGAUUCCUUUCAGAUUUGCAUAUCUUUCCCUUUCGGCAUGGACUCGUAACGACAGGGGAUAACCCCUUCAGACAACAAAAACAAAGCCAUGUUAGGAAUAGGAGGAGAACCUCAUCCUAACAUGAGCAAAGUUGGAAGUCCGGUUAUUUUAAGACCGGACAGGGGGAGAGGCCCAUAUAACGGCCCUUAUGUGCCCCCACGGCCAUGUUAGGAACAGGAGGAGAACCUCAUCCUAACAUGAGCAAAGUUGGAAGUCUGAUUAUUUUAAGACCG
rnacentral:lncRNA from 1 species